UACGUAGGUGGCAAGCGUUGUCCGGAAUUAUUGGGCGUAAAGCGCGCGCAGGCGGUCCUUUAAGUCUGAUGUGAAAGCCCACGGCUCAACCGUGGAGGGUCAUUGGAAACUGGGGGACUUGAGUACAGAAGAGAAGAGUGGAAUUCCACGUGUAGCGGUGAAAUGCGUAGAGAUGUGGAGGAACACCAGUGGCGAAGGCGAGUCUCUGGACGACUCCUGACACUGAGGCACGAAAGCUAGGGGAGCAAACAGG
rnacentral:rRNA from 1 species